AGCCCAUGACUGACAAGUGACAAGCAUAUAUCCUUACCACAUGUCUGCAUCUGGGGGCAGAAAAACUCAAAAUCUUAUUAAAAGAACUGACCCAUUUGUGCUCUCUCUACUACGUGUGAACUAAUCAUGCUGAGCAUUUGUGGUUAGCAGCCCAACAGUCUUUUAUUUUUAGUUGGGGAAUGAGAAACCAAGGAUGACAAAUCGGUGCCCUUACCUAACCUUUUUCUGUGUGUUGUUCAUCAGAAAGGGUAAAAAAUACAUAUCUUCAGAAACUAAGGUUAAUGCUUUUCAUCUUUUUAUUAGAAGCUUGUCCACAGAAUUCAGCUCAGAAAAAGACAGCAGGCCGACUGAAGGAGAAGCCAAGCCGUGACGAUGACAGGAAACCACUGAUUUGCUGCACCACCACGCCACUCCGUCCCUGUGUUUUCAUAAAUCCACAGCGGUUGAUCUGAAACGCGACGAGCCGCGCAGCUACUGAUGAUGAUCGGAAGAAUCCACGGCGGAUUGACGGAAGCACGACGGCGGUGAUCGAUCGGCGGCAACCAUGUGUUCCGCGCGGUUGGUGCGCGGCCGGCAUGGCGCCAAUUCAAGCCGCCAAAGGCAUUUGACAAGAUCACCUCGACACCUGUCAAGUCUUGGCGAAGUGCGUGCGUGCGUGCGACUACGCAAGGGCAAGGCUAGCUAUCGCUGGAGGAGGUGGAGCCAGCCCCCGGAUGGGAUGGGAGUUGGGAGCUUUUGCACUAGAGUAGUUUAUAGACGUGAUGUGAUUCUUCCCGUAAUCAGGAUCCCCAACAACCGAAGAGGAAGCAAAGAGGCAGCUGGGACUGGGAGCGUCGUCGUCACCGGUGGCCGCGUGAGCCGUAAUGCCGUAUCGCCGUGCGUGCAUCCCAUGGAUGGCAAUGGCAAUAUUCAAUGGGCGCGAGGACAUGGGCUGGCAGGACAUGCAUGCGCACUGAUCCGUGGGUGUGUUCAUUUGGUCGUCAUAAAGAAUACCGCGUCCAUUACAACUCUACUAGCGAAAUUCAAGUCCAAGUUAUCUUGAGUUCGACUAUAUUUACUUUAUAUACUAAAAAGUAUCAAUGUUUAUUAUAUUAUAUUUAUAAUAAAAUAUAUUUUACUGUAUCAGUAAUAUCUAUAUCUAUAUCUAUUAUAGUCCUAAAUCUCAUUAGCCAUCAUAUCUCGACAUGCAAGCAUUCCAACUCAACAAUUUACUAUCACAUGCAUUUAAUUGUUAUCGUUAGUAUGCCAUGCCAUCCAUGACCAUGAACUUACAAUAUUUUAUUCCAUCAUAUAAGUAAUUUACUCUAGUUUUGUUCUAAUUCAUUGACAGUUUCUACAACAACACACAGGGUAUGCUUGUAGUUUAUCUAAUGAUAGAACUAGAAUUAUAUUAUUUUCAAGAUGGAGGCAGUAAGAGUUUACUUCAAGAUAUGCUCGUCUACUUCUUGAGUUACACACGCGAUCUAAGAUUUGCUCACCGUGCUUUGUACCGCCGAUGGUGUCAUCCGCCCCCACGCCGAUGUGGAGAAAGAGAGAGAACAGAGAAAAGAAACAUACGAGAGAGAAAUAAAACAGCAUGUUUAUUCAAGUUUAUCUGUCGAAUCUGUAAAUCAUUCAGUAGUGUUUUUUUAUCACAAUAAAUCACCGAACAAUAUUUUCAGCCAUGACUUUUCAGCCAAGCGAACAUGUUUAAAUAUGUGGGCUUCAUUGCCAUGUGUUGUUCAUGUCAAAGAUAUCAUCCUUUAAAACAGCUAGAUGGCUAAAUCCAAACAAUUUUGGUAGUUGGAUUUCGUCAAAGAUUUCUGAUUCUUAAGUUAGUAUAUGGCACAAAACCCUAACAAUAGUUGUAUGUGAGAGUGAGACAUUUUUUUUAAAAAAAAUGCGUAAACUAAAGAUGGUGUGACAACUGACAAAACAUUAUAUCUAGAAUUAUAAUCUUUUUUGAAUCGACGGAGCACAUCCCAUGAUCUAUUGUUUUUUUUUCGAAGAAAAAAAAGAGAGAUAUGGAUAGCUGUGUCGUGAUCCGUAUGCCACGACUGCCAACAAACACCCCGGAUAUGUCGUCCCAAUCAAUAAUUCAAUAUCCAGCAGAUACCUCCCGUAGUCCCGUUCCACUCUUUUUCUAUAUGAUGAAUUGAAGCAAGCGCGAGUCAUGCCCAUGAUGCAUGUUUGUUGCGGAUGAGCCCUGGCCUGGUCAAACCAAGCACGUUGUUCACUUGUUCUCUGCUCUGACUGAACCCGUGGAGUCAAAUCAACUAUAGCUCGGCACGGCAUGGGUUUUGUUUGACUCUGAUAUGGCUUGCCUUUGAGGCCUUGUUUCCAAUUUUUUUCAAAAUUCUUCGUUACAUCAGAUUUUAAGGCAUAUAUAUGAAGUGUUAAAUAUAAAUAAAAAUAAAAAUUAAUUAUAUAGUUUAUCUUUUGACCAUAAUUAGUUUAUGAUUAGACAAAAUUUGCCAUAAACAAACGAAAAUACUACAGUAGCGAAAUCCAAAAAAUUUCGCGAACUAAACCAGACCUGAGCUUCAAUAUCAGACUCACUCGACAACCGCCCGGUCAAUUUAUAGUUACCACUAUAUAUUAUUACCAGCAAUGGCCACGGCCGACGGCGCGUCUUUGUUCCUGCUGUUCUUUGCUGGAGCAGGAAUUCAAUCCAGCGCCGCCAGAGUUUUCUACUCCGUCGACUUGCCGGCGCCGCCGGCAGAUGAUGAGGUCCGUGGACACGGCCACCGGCGCACGCCGCGCACGUCGUCAGUGACCUGAGACCUGGAUCUGCCCGUUGUGGCAAGGACGGGACAGGCAGUGAGGAUACCCGGUGCUAGCUCGCGGCCAUUUCAAUGGCAGCAAGGACUUGGGAUCUGCGCCUGCACUGGCGUUCGUUAGUCGUUACGCAUUCACCCAACUCGAGGCAGCUCCGAGUUUGAGCCAUCAAAAAUCAAGCUGCCCCACAGCAAAGAAAAGGCACAGCGACAGGGCAGAGCGGCUGUCCCUGACUCCUUGUCCGUAUCGAGGCUGGGCAACGGACGUCUGGCGUUUUCUUCCUUUCAUCAAGAUGCCAGCGUGCAUUUCUCAGACCAGACCAGAGCACAGCUUGGAAUUUCCUGUGCCUUUGAUGACUCCUGGCUGCUGUUAAGUGUUAACAAAACAACCAAACAUGCCGCUCGCAUUUUGACUUGUAGUAUAUAAUUUACAUUCCUUCAGUCUUUAAUAACACCCUUCAAUCCCUCUUCAGUCUCCACUAGAAUAAUGAACAAGGCCUUACAUAUACUCCGUAGGUAGAACAAGGCCCUACAUAGGCACAAAGCAAGCGAACAAGUAAAGUAAAUUUUACUUCAAACCUCCUACCUUCAGCUACAUGCACAAAUGGAUGCUCUAUUUACUUUUUCUAGUUUUCUCAGGAAUAAUUCAGCAGGUGCUCUUGUGGGCAACUAGUUACUGGAGCUCUUUGGCAGGGCUCCUGUAUGGGCUUCAGCUCUGGCUUGUAGCCUCGUACAGGAGCUGUGCCAAACGCCUGUUUUGGAAAGAGCUUUGCAUGGGGAGCUAGUCAAGAGCCAGAGCCAUUUUUUGCCUACGCAAGAAAAGUCUCAAAAACGAGUUUCGCGUGGCUUCUUGCUAGGUUCGCAUCAUCUAGUUCCGAAUGAGCCAUUUUGUCAAACAUUUUUCACAACGGCUUUAGCUUCUCCAGAGGAGCUGCUUCUUCAGAAGAGCUAGAGCCGAAGCCAUUUCUGGAGGAGCCAGAGCCCUACCAAACAGCUAAGUCAAAAACGGCGGUGUGGUAUACUCCUUCAAGUUUUUUUCUUCUUUCUAAACAAAGAAUAAUUCACUGAACAUGCAAAUGGCAGCGACCUUUUUUUGCCCCCAUGGUACAAGGGGUUAAGGCUUCCUCCGGCGGUGUUUGCUCUUUUUUUUGUUGGUGUCCAGACAAUACGCACUUUUGUCAUUAUUUGACUAUAGAAAAAAUAUAUAAAUUAUCUGUUCUUUAAUUGUACCAAUUGAUUGUACAGAGAUUGCUACCUACAAAUUCAAGCACAUGGAAUAUUUUUAGCAACAAUAAAGAACAUAGUAUAACUAGUAGCUAGAUAUCUAAUAAUCCACGAAAGAAUGUAGUUUUAGUUGCAUUCUUUGUUAAGGCGUCUAAAUAUUGACCAAAUAUAUAUACAUAUAUAGAUAUAAAUAUUAAUGCUCAUGACCCCAAAUAAUAUAGUAUAAAAAAUAUCUCACGAUAAAUAUAAUAACACUUAUUUGAUAUUAUAAAUAUUUUUUUUAUUUAUAGUUAGUCAAACUCGAGACACUUUAUCUUGGUACUAUGCCAAAAUUGCAUUAUUUUGUGGAUAGAGAGACCGAGGGAGUAGCUAAUAAGUUAUUUGGAUCUACCUACUAAUAAGUUACUAAUAGGCACGAAGUAGUUGGUAUCUAUUGGCACCUUUUCUCAGAAUCACGCAAAACUUUUAUGCGUCUUUGUAUCAAGGAAGAGAAAAAAUUUAAUACAACACGCCUUAGUGGUGCCCCCAGUGAUCAGAAAAGUUGUAUGUGGAUGCUCAUAUCCUCCCUAGUGUACUAAAAAUGUAUCUCACCUAUUAGUAGUUCUAAAACUAUACUUAUAGAAUUAAUAUUUAGCAACUCUCUAAUUAAUAGUUAGUAGAUACAUUACUAGGACUUUUGAAUGCAUUAGUAUUAAUUUUAGCCACUGAUUACUAGCACCAAUAGAUCAAAUGAACCCUAAGAUACUACCCCUUUCUAAAAUAAGUGUCAUUCUCGCUUUUCGGGGAGUAAAAUGUUUUUAACUUUGAUUAAAUAUAUAUACAAAUAUUAAUAUUUAUAUUACAUGAUUAGUAUCAUUAGAUAUAUAGAUUAUUGAAUCUAUUUUUAAUAAAGUUUUUAUUUAGAGAUACAAUUAUUGCUAAUAUUUUUUCUACAAACCUAAUUUUAAAAGGAUUGACGUACAUGGAUACCUAUAGCGACAUUUGUUUUGGGACGUUAUGGAUAAUGACUCGCGGUUCCAAAUGUCAAUGGCGUGGUACAAAAUGUCAAAAAACGAUGCCCGACCAAAUUUCGAUAGAUUGAACCUGAACACGGCACUUCUUUGAAGCAUCAAUAAAGGCUAGUCGUAGCCUGAAACAAAAUUCCUUAAACAAGGAGCCCUUUGGUGCAAAAGUGGCGGUACCAGAGGAAGUAUAUAAAUUUUCGUAUCCUUUUGCCUGCCAUUUCUGCCGCGCCCGCUGCCUGCCUGCCGCUGCCGCCCCCUGCUUCCACUUCUUUCCCCUCCUCGUCAAGCUCCCCUGAAUCGCGGCAGCAGCACCGGAGCAGCCAGGCGAAGGAUUUUCCCCGCUCCGAAUCUACCCGGCUCCGCCCGAUGGGCUCGCUGAUGUCCUGCCUCUCCGACCCCUGCCCGUCGGGGAACAGGUCCCCGCCGCUGCAGGCGAAGCGGCGCUCCUCCACCUCUUCCCGCGGCCGUGGCGGGAGAGACUCCGCCAAGGCCUCCGUGUCCUUUGACGAGGAGGCGCUGGCCGCGGCGGCAGCGCUCGUGCUGGGGCAGAGGGGCGCCGCCGGUGGCCUGGGGGCAUUCGAGCGGUCCGCGUCGGUGCGAUACGCUGCCAAGCGCCAGAGCCAGGGCCCGCCACUGCCCCGGAGCAGCAGCACGCGUCCGAGGUCGCUCGCUGACCCCGAGCUCCAACCGCAGCAGCUCCUCGCCAAGGUGAGAACCCUGCCAUACUACUCCUUCCUCCAUAGCUUGCCUGCCCCUCUCGGCCUUUACUCCCCAUUACUUGGUUUGGUUGGUCAUUGGUGUGCGUGCCGCCGCGUUGAAUUCUUUGUGCAGUCUCGUCUGACUUUAUGCCUUAUUUUCUGCGAGUUUCCACUGCGAUUGGCUGUCCUUGCGUCGAAUGUAAGGAAAGCAGGGGCUAUGGGAUCCCCCUACUCGGUUCUCUCGUUGUCGCGGUUCAAUUUUCUUACGUUUCUUUAGAUGAAAUUUAGUGUUUGCUCGAUUCAGUUGCAGAAAGGCACGAUCUUUGGUGAUUCAGAUUCUUCUUGUUUUUCUGAUUUAUUGUAUUGCAUCAUGGCAUGCGUCAAUGCCUGGCCAGUUUGCAGUUUAAUUCGAUGCUCCCUCGUGGACGAAUACACCCCUGAUUUGUUUCUAUGAAGGAAAGUAUGAAUUUGGCUCUGGUAAGAACUAGGCAGGCGAUUACAUUUCGCACUUCGUGACUUUGGGACCGGGCAAUCUGGUUUACAUAAGCCAUAGGCGAGAGACCGUUCAAUUCCACCUGCAAAUCCGAACCGGUGCAAUGCACGUGCUUGCUUCCAUCUGUAGUUAUCAACAUAUAGACUAAGACCUGACUUUAACAUCUGUAGUUGAUGAAUACUCUUGAGAGGAGUGUGAACAAGUAGUUAUCUCACAACGACCAAGCACUGAUUUGGUCAAAAUUUAGAGGAACUGGGAAACUUCCGUUGUUGACUGAUAGUAGUUGGUCGUACAUUGGUUUUGUUCAGAAGCUCUUAUGCAUAGGGGCUGUAGAAACUGAUCGAUUGUUGUUUCUAGCUCUGGUGGGAUCAUAUUGGCUUGUGUGUUCAUUGCUCUGGAGAAAGGACAAAGGAGAGCCUAGGAGGUCCCAACUUGUGCUGGUGGGGGAUCUGGAUAUUGUUUACUUCAAAUUGUUUCAGUAUCGACACAAGAUAUGUUGUUCCCAGGUUUGCCCUGGCUAUGAAUGGGAUGGGCAGCCAGCGUGGCUACUAAUUUGUCUUGAGUAUAUUAUAUACUGGCAUUUCUAAUUACUAUAACAGUGGUGUUGACUAGUAAGAGGAUAACGGCCAUGAAGGAAACCGAGGAUGAUUGGGAUUGGGAGGUUUGUGUUUGACAUUUUCAAAGUCAUCUGUCAGCUACCGAAUUCGAUGCUGGUAUGCUAAAUUUGUUGGAAACUGUGAAAAGUUGAACAGAAUCAGCAUGGUAUUUGACAUUUCGAGGUGUUUCUUUCUUUUCGUGCUUAUCAGCAAACAGUCAUCUCCACAGUCCACAUUUGUGACUCAGUAUAUUGUGUGCAUAUUUAUCAGGACCUCAGAUACUUUGUCGUUGUCUAGUUUCCUACCCAUUUGAUUUUAGUGUUUGAUAAUUUGUGUUCCUAGAUUUUAUCUUACUGCAAUUUUUGACUUAUGGUUCAUUCUCAAACAGGAUUUGAAUACUAAGGAUUUGGAAACCAACGUCAUUGUUCUUGUUCAUGGAGGUGGAUUUGGCGCUUGGUGUUGGUACAAGACUAUAUCACUUCUUGAAGAUAGUGGGUUCAAAGUUAACGCCAUCGACUUAACAGGCUCUGGGAUUCAUUCUUACGACACAAACAAGAUUAGCAGUCUUUCAGAGUACGCUGAACCACUUACGUCUUACCUUAAAGGCUUAGGUGGUGCUGAAAAGGUUACUCUCUUUCCAUAUAUCAAGUUACGUUCCAUUUGGGAUAUUGUAGUAUCCAUUGACUAUUGUGGCACUGUGCAUGAUAUUUGGUAAUUUACAUGCUUUCAUGCUUCGACUGUAGUCCUUAACAAUCUUAUAAUAAAAACUGGGAUGACAGCGACUAACCUAUCAUUAGAUGAGAGUUCUAUAAUGGCAAAGUAAUACUUGUUCCUGCAAAAAAUUGUAUUCUACAUUUCUGCAUAAGCCAUGGUAAGUUGCAGGCACAUGGAUUUCAGUACAGCGCCAUACUUUAGGAUCUUGUAGGCCGCCAAUGCUAUCUUCUUCCAUCUCACACAUUGUAGGUAAAAAUAGCUAGUGCAUCAGCAUGAAAAAUUUGAGUGAAUUGUUAAUCUAAAUGUCAAUGGACUUGGGUUGGACUUUAAUCUUUUGAGAUGGUAAGAUUUUAGUAGUGUUACAUUUAAUCACUCAAUUUACAAAUACUGAAGUAGGAAAAACCAUAGGCAUAAGUACAAUAUGCCUGACAUUCUGGGGAAUCAAUUUUGUAAGUGCUAAAUUCUGUAGACUUUUUCUUUCUGUAAAGAUCACAAUCAUAACAUGAAUCAUCAUAACUAAUUCUCAAAUCCCAGACUGAAGUGGUCCCAGAUUAUGGUGCAGAACCUAAGCACCACCUAACUUUAGUUAUGAUUUGAUGCUUGGGGUGACAUUAUUAUUAUGUAUGCACCAGUGACUUAGGUAGUUGCUUGCCACUCAAGUCGAUCUGUAUCUCUUAAAAUGAUCCUGGAAAUAUUUUGUGUACGAUAAAAUGCAUCAUCUCGAUAUUUUCCAAGAUUUUAUAGAUAAGUCUUUAGCAAUGCCAAUAUUGAUAUUUCAAAGCAUCAUAUGAAGUUUUCAAGCGACUUUUGUACUGGCAUGUUCAGACUUAUGUGAAGAUCCCUGCUUUGUUUGAUUUUUUUUUUGAGCAUAUUCUUAUCUGACCAGAAAUAUAACAAUCGAAUACCUCCAACAUUAUGCAGGUAAUUUUGGUCGCUCAUGAUCUUGGUGGUGUCUGUGUAUCCUAUGCAAUGGAGAUGUUCCCAUCCAAAGUUGCCAAGGCUGUUUUCCUUUGUGCAGCAAUGCUGACAAAUGGAAACAGUGCCCUUGACAUGUUCCAACAGCAGGUUGGUCUCCUGGCCCAGCGUUAAUUCUGUUGAACAACUGGCAUUAUAACGAAUCAAAAAGACAAGGACAUUAAACGUUGCCUUGUCUGGCAUCAAAGUAGCAUUGUCUUCCUAUGAUUAUGUCCUGAUGCCGUCCUUCCGCUCCAGAUGGACACAAACGGUACUCUCCAAAAGGCGCAAGAAUUCGUCUACUCCAACGGCAAGGACCGUCCUCCAACUGCCAUCAACAUCGACAGGGCCUUGCUUAGAGACCUGUUGUUCAACCAGAGCCCUUCCAAGGUACUAGGAUUUUGGAGUACUUUGUUACUGUCACCGAGACAAUCACCUCCAUUCACAUCACUGAAUCCUACUUCUGAAUUCUGAAGUUGUGAUAUGACACCCCCUACCUUGUGACUGUGCAGGACGUGUCGCUGGCCUCGGUGUCCAUGAGGCCCAUCCCCUUCGCCCCUGUGCUGGAGAAGCUUGUGCUCACCGCUGAGAACUAUGGCUCGGUGCGGCGGUUCUACGUGGAGACCACGGAGGACAAUGCAAUUCCUCUGCCUCUCCAGCAGAGCAUGUGUGGUGCCAACCCACCGGAGAAGGUGCUGCGGCUGAAGGGGGCGGACCACGCACCCUUCUUCUCCAAGCCGCAGGCGCUGCACAAGACCCUGGUCGAGAUCGCCACCAUGCCGCCGCCGGUCCAGGCUUCGUGAGAUGGUGUUUGUUUAGCUUCAGGUUUCGCCGGCCGGCGAGCUUGCAUGGCUGUUGUACAUGCUGAGGAUGGUAUGGUUUGUGGCGGUGUGGCAGCAAGUAGGGGUUCUAGAAUUUCAGCGUCGUCUCAACGAAAGGCAUCCUUCCAUAAUAUACUCACAGGCAUCAGUUUUUUAUAUAUUAGAAAAAAAACAAAUCUUAUUCUGGCCUGGAGAAUCAAUCAGUUCAUUAUUAUAGUUCAGCCUCGUGCUAGAUAUAAAGCAAAUAAAAUUGAAGAGUAGUAAACAAAGCAUUAUAAAACCUAUUACAAGAGAACUGUCCAACGGCAAUCUUCAUUACCAUAAUCUUCAACAUUGACAUUGCCCAUACAUCUGGCGUCGCUAACUCACUAUCGUGAUGAGCUCGCUGCAGUUACCUGCGUCUGCUCUGCACGCAAUGGAUAGGAAAAGGAGAGUUUUCCUCUGGUCGGGGGACAAGUCAGUGAUUUCUUCUCCGACCGGCUGUCUAGUCGCUUGGACGAAGGUCUGCAGUCCCCGUGAGUUCGGUGGCUUGGGCGUCAGAGAUCUGGAAAUUCAAAACAUCUGCUUGCUUAUUAAAUUGCUGCAUCGACUACACUGUCCACAAUAGUCUGCUUGGGCAGAAUGGGUGCAGAGACGGGCUUCAACCAUAACCUUAAACGGUGACCUCCAUGGCGAUCACUGGCGGACCCUGAGGGCCAUCAUCCCACUAUAUCAGGCCAUUACUUCUGUCGUGCUUGGCGACGGCAAGUGCACCUCGUUCUGGAGUGAUGUCUGGUUUCAGGAUGAACCACUGGCAGACAGAUUUCCAGCACUCAUGUCUCACUGCACCCUAAAGCAGGCUUCGGUGUGGGAAAUCAAAACAACCGGUAUACUGCCGACCUUAGUGCCUCGUCUGUCAACCCCAGCAGAACACGAGCUACAACUAGUGCUCCAAAUCAUCGAUCAAAUAAAGCUCACUGCGGUACGCGACAAGAGAAGCUCACCUUUCUUCAGGCCAGACAACAGUCUCGACAGUGGUGCGCUAUACAAGAUGAUCAAGGCAAGGGGACAGGAAGACAAUCCAAGGGCAAACUUCAUUUGGAAGAGCCUGGCUCCUCCAAGGGUGCAACUGUUUUUAUGGCUUUUAAUGCAAAGGAGGAUUCAGUGCCGCUUGGUGCUCUUGAGGAAAGACAUCGUUGAUUCCGGAAUUUGUGAAAUCUGCAACGCUGCCGAUGAGUCACCGGAACAUGUCAUCCAUGGCUGCUGCCUUGGACGCGGUGUUUGGACAAGCUUGAAUCUUCUGUCCAUAAUCUCAGUGGACAUGAAUGACCUCCAUUCAGUUCAAGCUCAUUCCUCUACCCAAUCCCAGAGCUGGCGUCCUUUGUUGCUUUGGUAUGCUGGCAGAUUUGAAAGGCGAGGAAUGCAAGGAUAUUCAGGAAUGAAACGCAAACGGUGUUUCAUGUGCUGCAGGAGUGCCUAUCUGCUGCCACUAUGUGGAACACAGAUUCCCAACAAGGAAAAAAUCAAUCAUAGAUCAAUGGUGCUCCAUUCUGGUAAUGGCUAGAGAAGGGCUAGAAUAGAGGUUGGUAGGCAAGCUCUCAAACAACAGCAACAUGUUUGCUGCUUUGUAACCCUGUCGCACUCUUUAUCCCCCCACUCUGUAACCUUUGUAACCUAAUAAAUUUUUUCAGGUGGGGAUCGACUCCCCCCCCCCCUGACCCAAAAAAAACUAUCGUGACCAAAGUUUGAACGGUGGAGUUUCAGGAGACAUUUCUAUGACAUCUUGGCCCUAGUCUAUCUGACAUUCUAUCUAAAAUACGAACGGCGUAACUUUUUUUUUUAAAAAAAAAAAUGAUGAAGCAGGAGGGCCGGCUCCAAUGGUAGGAUGGAACAAUCCAAUGUUGGGCUGCGCUUUCGUUGCAAUUUUCCCGUGUUGGGCUAAGUCCUUAAUUUGGUUGGAGUCUGGGCCGCCGAGAGCUGAGACGGACCAGCGUCUGACAGCCGUGCUGGUUCCGAUUCGAAUCCAAUAUACCGCGGCUGCACCUUGGCGUCGAGUUGCCGACUUGCUUUCAUCGGAAUCGAUUUUGCUUUCGCCGAUUACGACUUCGAUUCUGCACUGUAAAUGCAGCUCCAUCUAUAAAAUCAAGGCCCCAAGCCAGCCAGCCAGCCAGCCCCCGCAACACAUCCCAGAUCAGACAGAGCUCCUUCCUUCGUUGGCGGACUUGGUAGCCGGCCGCAAUGGCGAGAUAUAUGUCGUCGUGCUCGUGCUCGUCCUCAUCGUCUAAGCGGCAGAAGUUGAACAACCAUGAUCGUUACGCGAUUAUUAGGAGUAGCAAUCCGCGGCGGAAGCAGCACCUGUACCUGGCGCUGGAUGACUGGAAUGGCGGGUACAGUAUCCACAAGAUUGACGCCGACGAAAUCAUGGAUGACGACGACGAUGAAGCCGCCACCGCCGCCGCUUCAGCAACUGACCGGGAGCAGCUGCACAAGCUCCCGGAGCCUGCUGCCGUCCGGUUAGCGUCGCCAGUUGUGGGUUGCCGCAUGGCCUUCGCCGCCAUGGGCACCAACAUCUUCGUGGCCACCAACCCGCGCUGCAGGUACGACGACGCCGCCCCCAAACUGUUGGUCUACGACGCGGCGACAGGCGCUCUCUCAGGCGGCCCGCACCUUCCGGACCAGGAACGGCUCUACGACUUUGGUGCCGCAAUGGCUGUCGGUGAAAGGCUGUACACCUUGACGUCGGUUUGUUUGGAGCUCAACGAGUGCCCCUCCUUCCGGGCCUUGUCGUGGGAGCCAACCACCAGGCCCGGCCGCGGCCUCGGUGUAUGGGAUCCGCGCAUGGAGUGGUCCUGGAGCUGUGUGCCGCCGCCGCGGUUCCAUGGGUUCGACAUCGCCGCCUACGCGCUGCACCCGGACGGACGCACCAUUUUCAUAUCGACGGCGCACCACAGUACCCACUCCUUCGACACUAGCAGCGGCGUGUGGACGGAGCUCGGGGACUGGGUGCUGCCCUUUCGAGGCCAAGCCUACUUCGACGCCGAGUUGGACGCAUGGGUUGGACUUCACCACAAAGAGGGUGGAUACGUCUGCUAGCUGCUGCCCAGUCGCCUCUCGCAGUCGCAGCGCCACCGAGCCGCCCGAGUGCAGCAAGCUCAACGAGAAGCUCUUCGGCAAGGAGGACUACCCAAAGGAGCAGCGCUUGAAUACCACCCUUACCUACAUGGGUGACAGCAGGUUUUGCCUCAUCGAGAACGUCAUGCCUCGUGAUAAUGAUCUCAACGCUGUGCUCCACGUUACGUUGUUUGGCCUCAAGUUUGACCAGAAGGGAGAUCGAGCUGCAAACUAAGAUUCGCCGCAAGUCAAGAUCAUAUGCAGUGUCCAAGAAUACAUUCCUAUUCUCUCACGCAGCAUUCUGGCUGUAAUGUACUCCGUAGAACCUAAUAAUUACAUUCUGGGCGGCCGGAUGCUUGCAGCAUACUGCUAACCUCUUGUAUGCAUAUUAUACUAAUUAAAUCUACCUAGAGAUUCCCAUUAAUCUGAUCUUAGUGCACAAGAUGCUUAAUUACUUCAUUAUCUAUUAUUAGGAUCAUGUCCAUGUAUUGCAACAGACAACGGAAUACCGUCACGACAAGUUUGAACAUGUGUUAUAUACUAUAAAAAAAUAUUUGAAUGUGACGCAACAUUUUUUUAGCCAUUUAUCACUCUUCACGAGGCACAAACAAUUAGAAUGUAAUUCAAGUUCUGAUUUAAAAUCAAAAUAAUCUAGUUCAAACCAUAACAACUAGGUUCGCUACAACUAUCUAUUCUACUGUGCUCUUGUUGUGAACGUGUACAAAGACAAGGCUUCACCUUUCUUUUCAUAAGUUUCUAACGAUAUAAUUAAGUUAUAAGGGUUGCAUGAUGCACGGUUAGAUCAAGACCCAAAUAGAUCUACUAACAGAAAAACACAAAAGCAUAACAACAUACGAAACAAAUACACAAACGAGAAUAACACCGAAACACGAUGUUUUUUUAACAAGAUUCAAUGAUGUGUCUACAUCAUCAGAGUAUGACUACAAGAGCUUCUCCCUAUAAAAUGCAGCCACAUCAGCCUACCUAAACCAACCACCAAGUCAUCUCAUGAUUACGAUAGGAGUUGGCUCAUAUUUAUGCUCUCCUUGGAUACAAAGCUCGACUCUAAUCCUAUCUUAGCUGCUAAUAUAACUCAAGUCAUAGCGUAACCAAACUAUACAAAUAUUCAACACAUAUCUAAUAAACUCCACCUUAGUGAAUAUGCAUGCCACCUUGAAGUCGUCCAUGCUAAAUAUUAGGGUAGUAUUUAUGCUCAUUAACAUGUUCAUUUUUAAUUAUUAAUUAUCAUAGCAAAAUCUGUGCUAGUGCAUAUUUAUUAGUGUAUAAUUAGUUGCUAAUAUUUUAGAACAAAGAUAUAGUUAGUACUUAGUAUGCUAUUUGUAUCCAAUUCACCCUCAUCCAAACAAAACAAAAAAUGGCAUGUCGCAUCCACCCAUACAAACAAGUAGCAUGAAUCAUUUUAUCCCUCAGACCAAACAUUAUACAUGACACCCUUAAUCUAUGGAGUUGUCGUUGUGCUCCUUUAUUGCAUAUACCCAUACAUACACAUACUCACCUAUAUGAACGUAUACACACACAUCUCACACUUAUGUAUACCUCCGAAAGACGAAGAUGAACAUAUCACAAGGAUUUAAAACCCAGUUGAACAAGUUCUACCAUAAAAAACUCGAUCAGUACUACAAGUUCUACUAGGUACUUUCACUGAGCAUCUACUCACUACACUAUAAAGGUAGGAAGGACCCCUCUUCUUUUAUAAUAAAUACCUCCAUCUCUAAAUAAGUUAAUUUCUCAAAGUAACCUAAUCUUGUAAAUUUGGCCGAAUUUAUAGAAGCUAACAUUGGUAUCAUUAGAGACACCUAAAUAUAUUUUAUAGUGUACUUAUUUUGUGUUAUAAACGUGAAUGACUUUCUUAUAAAUGCUUAUAUUUUGUGUCAUACAUUGCUGUUAUUUUUUCUACAAAAGUUUGACUUAGAAUGUAACUCUGAAAUUUAUUUAUUUAGGGGUGAAUGGAGUUUAAUAAAUAAAUAAAUAGAAUUGGCGCGUCCAAAAUAACACCGUGUUUUUGUACGACGUGCUCGGCGGCUACGUGAUAUAAAGCCUGAUAGAGUGAUAGGGGCCAGGCCUGGUAUAUAUGCGGCUAUACGGCUUUGCAUUGGAUCCGCUUGUGUUGUCUGCGUACACUGUAAACUUGCUGGGCCGGCGUGUUCAAGCCUAGUAUAGGACAUGGGCCGAUGCCCGGUAGCUAUGAGAUACUUUGGCGUGACGCCUCAGUGAAGAAACUGACGAUAGGAUUAGGAAUUAGAUCGUCUGGGGCUGGGUGAGUCACAGAUGCUAAUCUGAUGGCUCUAGAAUUGGAACGGCUUGAUGAGUUCAUCACGGAACACAGAUGCAUACACUGAUGAUAGAUGUCUCUGAAGAAGUUAACGAUAUGUUAUGACUUGGAACCAGUGAAUGAGCUAGUGACUAGUCACACCGCAUAAUAAAAAAACUACGUAGUGUGCACUCUACCUACAGAGCGUUACUACCUCAUCAUCCGAUGAGACGACACGACACGACACGACACGACACGAGACGCCUUCAAUCGUGCGUUUCGCCACGCCCCCGGCUUUAUAUAUGUACGUACAUGGUACACGUCUCUUGCUUCCCCGGAAAGCAUCGAUACACGUCUCUUUAAUACCAGGUAGAAAUGAAAAUAGAGAUUGAGAUAAAGAUUUAUUCUAUACCAUCUGAUCGUCAUUGUUAGCUAGGUAGCAUGGUUAGCGAGUAUUAGGUUAUGAUCUCCUUUCUGCUAGAAGGGUAGAACCACAUUAACCUUCUAUUGUGCCAUAUUUGUGGCACGGCGUUAUAACUUUUACAUUUCUUGAUCUUAAAAUAAAGAUGCACAAAUCUUUUGUGAGAAAAAACUAUUGCAUUCCAUCUAUAUAUUUUGUUAAAAUAGACGAUUUUAUUGCCCACACAUAAUGCUAUAAUCAGGAGGAAAAAUCAAGGCAUUUAUAUCAAAAGAUAACAGGCGAAUUUAAAUGCGUUAUUAUUGUUCAAGCAAAGGAGGCCCUCGAUCACGCCUUGAUAUUUGAUAAUAUAAUGCAGUCAUUAGUACUGCCAAAUACUCCUGUAUAAUAUGCGAUUGGAAUUUACUAACGGAAAUCAGUAAAUUAUUUGCCGCGACAGUUGCCAAAUCGAAGCCAUUUCCACCACCGCACUCUCCCUUAUUUAAAGGCUCCCUCCCUCUGUACAUUCCACACCAGCCACUCCAUCAUCACCCUUCACUCAUCAGCCAUGGUGCUCACCAUGGCCACCGGCCAAGAGGACUCCCUCCUCCUGCUCCUCCUCCCCACCACCUCCCCACUCCCGCCCCUCAUGGCCGUGUUCAUCCUAGCCGCCGUCCUCCUGUGGCUCUCCCCCGGUGGUCCUGCGUGGGCGCUCUCCCGCUGCCGCCGCCCGCCGUCCGGCCCAACGGGCGUGGUCACCGCGCUCUCAAGCCCCGUGGCGCACCGCACCCUGGCGGCGCUGUCCCACGCCGUAGACGGCGGCAAAGCACUGAUGGCCUUCUCGGUCGGGCUCACCCGCCUCGUCGUGUCGAGCCAGCCCGACACGGCGCGAGAGAUCCUCGUCAACCCCGCGUUCAGCGACCGCCCCAUCAAGGACGCGGCUCGCCACCUGCUCUUCCACCGCGCCAUGGGCUUCGCGCCCUCCGGAGACGCGCACUGGCGCGGGCUCCGCCGCCUCGCCGCCAACCACCUGUUCGGCCCGCGCCGCGUGGCGGCGGCCGCGCACCACCGCGUCUCCAUCGGCGAGGCCAUGGUCGCCGACGUCGCCGCUGCCAUGGCCCGCCACGGCG
rnacentral:lncRNA from 1 species